GGGUAAAAAUGUACUAACAUGCAAACUUACGUUUAUAUAUAAAGAACUGAAGCACUAGAUCUAUAAAAAGUUUACGAUGACAACCAUCAUUUACGUUUCGAUUUUUCUCUUGAUAUGCUUACGCGCAUUGCAUGUUGGUGCCUUGUUUCAAUUAGUGGUUUAAACAAAAGUGGAACGAAUAGAUAAAUUCAAGAGUGGCUUACAUAAGUGGCUCAUUUAAAUGGAUUAAAUAGAUAACUUAUAAAGAGGUGAACGAGAUGUAGGAAUAGAAUAUUUAAAUAUAUG
rnacentral:lncRNA from 1 species